CAAAAAUUUUGGCAUCGAAGGAAGUAUAGACUCGGCCCCAAUCUCCCAGAAUCUUCUUCCAAAUUGCCCCCAAAUCGAGUCUAUUGUGCCCUCGCCGCCGCCCCCAACCGCGAUGUGCCCUCGCCGCCGCCCUGCAACCACCGCCACUCCGACCAUUGCCGGCGUCGCCCCCAGCACCCUACCGUAGCGCCGCCGAGCACCAACUAACACGGAUCUAAUUCCCCGCCGGCCGGCCCCGUCGCCGAGCCCUUCGCCCCUGUCAAGUAUCCUCAGAUCUCGUCCGCCGUUCGCUUCAUUCCCAGCGCCGCCCAAAUGUGGUCUAUCCAUCCACGCAUUCUCCUCUCGCAGCACCAUCUACUUGGCAUCUCUCCCGAACUGCCGAGAUGAGGCAUGCGCCGGGCUAGGGUUUGGCGCCGCCGGCCCUCCUGGUCGUCCUACUCCGGUGCUUGCUCCUCCGCCGCUGGUCCACCUCGACGUCGUGCUCGCCCAUCAUCCUUUGUCCGUGCUCCCCCAGUUCGUGCUUCUACGGCCUCCCCCUCUUGUACUUCGAGCCUAAGAAUCACAGGUCAAUAGAUGUUGGUGUUCAAAUUACAGGAGACAGGAGACACUCGCAGUUUGGCUGUGUCCAUGCUGCUGCUUUUGCCUAAGAUGGAUUCAAUUAAUUGAGAUGGAGGUGGAUUAUAAUACUUUGGUGAUAAUAACACCAGCCUUACAGCCAUAUCAUUUACGAAUAACUCCAUAAGAUUUCCCAAAGGACCUUCAAGUUGCUGAAGAUUUGGAAGACCUACAAUUAAGUUGGUGGAGUGAUAAUGUCAUUUGUCUUGUUUGUUGAACCUAGAGACUUGAUAUGCUCAUUUUGUUGGUUAUUAAGCUCAUUUUGGUUGUGUGGCACACAUCUAGAAACAUAUGUACAUCUCCUUUUGUGGCACUAUUUUAUUUUGGUUGUGUGGCAAACAUAUAUGUACUCCUUUUGUGGCACAACCUCCUUAUAUAUGGACGAAUGAAGUUUUAAGGUUUUCAAUGAAGCUUAUAUGUUA